CGCGCACACACCGCCCGUCAUUCUCCCCAAGCCUAGCCCCAUCUCAUAAAUAAUACUUUGAACCGGCAAAGGGGAGGCAAGUCGUAACAUGGUAAGUGUACCGGAAGGUGCGCUUGGAAAAAU
rnacentral:rRNA from 1 species